AGAUGCCUCUUGUUUUACUUGGGUUUGCGGGAUUGGUGUUCAUGUAAAUAUCUCUAUAUAUGUGAUAUACUGGACUAUUAUUGGAGAAAAAUCCUUAGAUGUAGCAAAAAUCUUUAGAAGAACUGUACUAAAGGCUUUCAUACUAUAGCUAGAAAAUGGGAUCUUUUUCCUCCAUUUUCUUUGCUGUUCUGUACGAUAAGCAAUGUAUUUCAGGCUCUCUUUUUUUUUUAGAACAGAAAUAAAG
rnacentral:misc_RNA from 1 species